AUGAACGCUGGCGGCGUGCCUAAUACAUGCAAGUCGAGCGAACAGACGAGGAGCUUGCUCCUCUGACGUUAGCGGCGGACGGGUGAGUAACACGUGGAUAACCUACCUAUAAGACUGGGAUAACUUCGGGAAACCGGAGCUAAUACCGGAUAAUAUAUUGAACCGCAUGGUUCAAUAGUGAAAGACGGUUUUGCUGUCACUUAUAGAUGGAUCCGCGCCGCAUUAGCUAGUUGGUAAGGUAACGGCUUACCAAGGCAACGAUGCGUAGCCGACCUGAGAGGGUGAUCGGCCACACUGGAACUGAGACACGGUCCAGACUCCUACGGGAGGCAGCAGUAGGGAAUCUUCCGCAAUGGGCGAAAGCCUGACGGAGCAACGCCGCAUGAGUGAUGAAGGUCUUCGGAUCGUAAAACUCUGUUAUUAGGGAAGAACAAAUGUGUAAGUAACUAUGCACGUCUUGACGGUACCUAAUCAGAAAGCCACGGCUAACUACGUG
rnacentral:rRNA from 1 species